GGAGAUUCAGUUUGAUCAGAGGGGGAUGAUAUCAGGGGCUGCAAUUAGGACUUAUUUAUUGGAACGAUCCCGUGUUUGUCAAGUGUCUGAUCCCGAGAGAAACUAUCAUUGCUUUUACAUGCUGUGUGCUGCUCCUCAAGAGGAUAUUAAGAAGUACAAAUUAGGAGACCCUAGAACAUUUCAUUAUCUCAAUCAAUCAAACUUCUAUAAGCUGGAUGGAGUGGAUGAAUCUAAUGAGUAUCUCACUACUAGGAGGGCCAUGGAUGUUGUUGGGAUAAAUGCUGAUGAGCAGGAUGCAAUAUUUCGAGUUGUGGCUGCAAUACUACAUCUAGGUAAUGUUGAGUUUACAAAGGGAGACGAAGUAGAUUCUUCUAUACCCAAGGAUGAUAAAUCUUGGUUCCAUCUCAAGACAGCAGCUGAACUUUUCAUGUGUGAUGAAAAGUCUCUUGAGGACUCCUUAUGCAAACGUGUCAUCGUGACUCGUGAUGAGAGCAUAACAAAAUCACUUGAUCCAGCUGCUGCUACUGUCAAUAGAGAUGCUUUAGCCAAAAUUGUCUACUCGAGGUUAUUUGAUUGGCUUGUGAACAAGAUUAACAACUCUAUUGGUCAAGACCCCAAUUCUAAAUCUUUGAUUGGUGUUCUGGAUAUAUAUGGAUUUGAGAGUUUCAAGACA
rnacentral:misc_RNA from 1 species